CUUCACCGAGCCCAGCAGCAGCGGCAGGCCGGCGGGCCGGUCCUGGCCGUAGGUGGCCAGCAGCGCCUGGGCCUC
rnacentral:antisense_RNA from 1 species